rnacentral:rRNA from 1 species
GCCUAUGGACAUACCACCCUGAACACACCCAAUCUUGUCUGAUCUCAGAAGCUAAGCAGGGUCAGGCCUGGUUAGUACUUGGAUGGGAGGAAGAAAGUCAACUCUAGAGAUU